GCCAAAAAUCUAGCCCCAAUCUGCCCCCCCGGCCUAAAUACACUUCACCCACUAAUCAAAACAUUUGUUAAAUCUAGUAAAGGCGAUUGAAAAAUUAAUUGGCGCUAUAAAUCUAGUACCGCAAGGGAAAGAUGAAAUAAAAAUGAAAAACCUUCAAGCAUCAAAAAGCAGAGAUUCUAUCUCGUACCUUUUGCAUCAUGGUUUAACUAGUCUAAUCAAGCAAAAAGAUUUAAAGUUUGACUUCCCGAAACUAAGCGAGCUACUUCAAGGCAGCCUAACGGGCGACCCCGUCUCUGUUGCAAAAGAGUGGAAAGACCUUCAAGUAGAAGCGACAAACCUAUCGAGCCUAGUGAUAGCUGGUUACUCAAGAAACGGACUUUAGUCCAACCUAAAGUUAACCCUAUACGACGAAAUUCCUCCCGUAACUUUAGAGCAAUUCAAAUAAGGUACAGCCUAUUUGAAACAGGAUACAACCUCAACUAACGGGUUAUAUGCCUAGUACACCCUGACCAAGUGGGCCUAAGAGCAGCCACCUUUAAAAAUGCGUCGAAGCUUGAUCAUCUUCCCCCCUACGACAAUCCCUAAAUUCUUAUUCAACCCUUUUACAGUAAUGAGUAAUUCUAUAAUACUAUAGAAAUUUUCAUGUUAAAACUAGUAACAAGAAGAUGACCCUUCUCUUGAAUGCAAACAUAAACCAGAAAGGACGCACCACUGGUAAUUAACACCUAUGAGCUGCUAAUAGCAACGUCAUGAAAAACCCCUAUUUAUCAAUAUGUUAACCUAACACAAGGGCAUUAAAAGAAAGAUUAAAAGGAAAAGAAGGAACUCGGCAAACAGCAACCUCGCCUGUUUACCAAAAACAUCGCCUCUCGAAUAAAUAUGAGAGGUCCAGCCUGCCCAGUGACUCUGUUCAACGGCCGCGGUAUCCUAACCGUGCAAAGGUAGCGUAAUCACUUGUUCUUUAAAUGGGGACUAGUAUGAACGGCACCACGAAGGUUACACUGUCUCCUUUUCCCAAUCAGUGAAACUGAUUUCCCCGUGAAGAAGCGGGGAUAAACAUACAAGACGAGAAGACCCUAUGGAGCUUUAAACGAAGCGACAACCGCCUCCCCAUUCAAAUUUCAGAAAACCUAUAUUAAACCAGGCGACAUGGUUGCUAGUUUUAGGUUGGGGUGACCGCGGAGAAUAAAACAACCUCCGUGUUGAAAGGGGCCUCCCCUAAGCAAAAAACCACAACUUUAUGCAUCAAUAAAUUGACAUCAAUUGACCCAAUAUUUUGACCAACGAACCAAGUUACCCUAGGGAUAACAGCGCAAUCCAUUUUGAAAGCCCCUAUCGACAAAUGGGUUUACGACCUCGAUGUUGGAUCAGGGUAUCCCAGUGGCGCAGCAGCUACUAAAGGUUCGUUUGUUCAACGACUAAGACCCUACGU
rnacentral:rRNA from 1 species